UAAGCCUCGGGGGCAGCAGUGGGGGAUAUUGCACAAUGGGGGGAACCCUGAUGCAGCGACGCCGCGUGGGUGAAGAAGCGCCUCGGCGCGUAAAGCCCUGUCAGCAGGGGAGAAAAUGACGGUACCUGAAGAAGAAGCCCCGGCUAACUACGUGCCAGCAGCCGCGGGAAUACGUAGGGGGCAAGCGUUAUCCGGAUUUACUGGGUGUAAAGGGGGCGCAGACGGCGAUGCAAGCCAGGAGUGAAAGCCCUGGGCCCAACCCCGUGACUGCUCUUGGAACUGCGUGGCUGGAGUGCAGG
rnacentral:rRNA from 1 species